rnacentral:rRNA from 1 species
CUACGGGAGGCUCCAGUGGGGAAUAUUGGACAAUGGGGGAAACCCUGAUCCAGCGAUGCCGCGUGUGUGAAGAAGGCCUACGGGUUGUAAAGCACUUUAGGUGGGGAGGAGAAGCGUAUAUUGAAAAAGUAUACGUGGAGACGAUACCUGCAGAAUAAGCACCGGCUAACUCUGUGCCAGCAGCCGCGGUAAGACAGAGGGUGCAAGCGUUAAUCGGAAUGACUGGGCGUAAAGGGCGCGUAGGUGGUAAGAGAAGUUGGAUGUAAAAGACCUAAGCUUAACUUGGGAAGAGCAUCCAAACUAGAUUACUAGAGUUUGGAAGAGGGAAUCGGAAUUUCCAGUGUAGCGGUGAAAUGCGUAGAUAUUGGAAAGAACACCAGAGGCGAAGGCGGCUUCCUGGUCUAGAACUGACACUGAGGCGCGAAAGCGUGGGGAGCAAACAGGAUUAGAUACCCGUGUAGUC